AGAGCGACAGACUUCAAGCGACUUAUGUCAAAUAUUAAAAUAAACACGUUCUUAUGGACACAGUUAUGUAGUUGUGCAGCAAUUUAUACCAUGUUCAGACCGACACUUAAUCACACGAUUUCGGCUGUUGAAUGGAUUAUCCCAUUAAUCUUAAAAAUUUAUCAAGAUUUCGCCAUACAAAAAUGACAGUUCCAAAUCACUUCAUUGAAAUGAUUUGAAACUGAUCCACGCUAAAUCUCUCUGUGCGACUCUGAUUUUGCGCAAUCUACUUGUCAGCACUGGAAAUCUGUUACAUUAUCACAGCUGAUUUAGACACUACAAAGGGAAAAAAAUGUAAACAAACAAAUUUUUUUUAAAGCAAUGAAUCUAAUUUCAUCUGAAAAUCGA